rnacentral:rRNA from 1 species
GACGAACGCUGGCGGCGUGCUUAACACAUGCAAGUCGAACGGAAAGGCCCUGCUUUUGUGGGGUGCUCGAGUGGCGAACGGGUGAGUAACACGUGAGUAACCUGCCCUUGACUUUGGGAUAACUUCAGGAAACUGGGGCUAAUACCGGAUAGGAGCUCCUGCUGCAUGGUGGGGGUUGGAAAGUUUCGGCGGUUGGGGAUGGACUCGCGGCUUAUCAGCUUGUUGGUGGGGUAGUGGCUUACCAAGGCUUUGACGGGUAGCCGGCCUGAGAGGGUGACCGGCCACAUGGGGACUGAGAUACGGCCCAGACUCCUCCGGGAGGCAGCAGUGGGGAAUAUUGCACAAUGGGCGGAAGCCGGAUGCAGCAACGCCGCGGGCGGGAUGACGGCCUUCGGGUGGUAAACCGCUUUCGCCUGUGACGAAGCGUGAGUGACGGUAAUGGGUAAAGAAGCACCGGCUAACUACGU